rnacentral:lncRNA from 1 species
CACCAGCUAAGCAGCAGUGCCCACGGGGCCAGAGGCAGCCCUGACCCUCCCUGGCCCUAUGGGGAGCCUAGAGCUAGGUGAGACUAGGCAAGUGCUGUGAUCUGGAGCAAAGACACAUUGGGGCUGAGGUUCGUUCCCCGAGCACAGUAUCCUUUUGCAGAAUGCAGCUCCUAGAAGCGCGUUUUGUGCCGUUUCGGAGAAAGGCCCUAGGUGGGUCCAUCCCUAGCUGGCUAUGGGUGGGAUACUAGGGCCAGUGCAAACAGGGCUUCUUCAUGCCAAAUCAGCCUUCUCCGCAAAGGAGAACACGUGUGGAGUUGGUUUCAAGCUGCGGAGACAACCAGCCAAGCAGCAGUGCCCACGGAGCCAGAGGCACUCCAGACCCCCUUUGGCCCCAUGCGGACCAUCGGGCUACAGGAGAAAUAGGCCCGCGUGGCUUCCCUGUAGAAACAUACCUGAGGGCUGGGGUUUGUGACCCAAACACACUUUCGCUUUGCAGCAUGCAGCUCGUGGAAGCGCGUUUUGUGCCAUUUCAGAGAUAGGCCUUAGGUGGAUCCCUCCCUAGCUGGCUAUGGGUGGAUUAGCAGGGCCAGUGCUUAGAGGGUUUCUUCAUUCCAAUUCAGCCUUCUCCGCAAAGGAGAACACGUUUGGAGUUGGUUUCAAGCUGCGGAGACCGCCAGCCAAGCAGCAGUGCCCACGGAGCCAGAGGCAGCCCAGAGCCUCCUUGCCUUUAUUGGGGGCCAAGGGCUAGGUGAGAACUAGGCAAGCGCUGCGAUCCUGAGCCAAGUCGCAUUGGGGCUGAGGUUUGUUCCCCGAGCCCAUUUUCCCUUUGUAGCAUGCUGCUCCUUGAAGCGCGUUUUGUGCCGUUUCAGACAUAGGCCCUGGGUGGGUCCCUCCCUAGCUGGCUAUGGGUGGGUUGCUAAGGUCAGUGCAUACAGGGCUUCUUCAGGCCAAAUCAGCCCUCUCCGCGAAGAGUACAACUUUGGAGUUGGUUUCAAGCUGCGGAGACCGCCAGCCAAGCAGCAGUGCCCACGGAGCCAGAGGCAGCCCAGAGCCUUCUUGGCCCUAUGGGGAGCCUAGGGCUAGGGGAGAACUAGGCAAGCGCUGCGAUUCUGAGCCAAGACGCAUUGGGGCUGAGCAUUGUUCCCCGAGCCCG